GGGGCCAUGGCUCAGUGGCAGAACAUCAGCUUGGCAUGCAAAAGGUCCCAGGUUCAAUCCCAGAUAUUUCCA
rnacentral:tRNA from 1 species